CCUGAUAACGUGGAUGAGGAUGAAGCUGAGAAUUAUGAUGACGCCAUUACAGCUGAUCAGAAGUCAGUUCUACUGACAGAGGACGUGUGUGAGAACUAUGAUGAUGCAGUUACUGCUGAAACAAACCCAAACAUCAUCACAGAAGAUGAAGAUGAAGAUGAUGAUGAUGAUGUGAUCAGUGAGGAACAGGAUGUAGGAGAGACAGGAAAAUGUGAUGAGGUGGAGGAGAAAUCUCAGAAAAACAGGGACCAUGUGACUGAGACACGCCACCAAAGGCCUUUUCUCAGGAAAUUACAUUUCAACUUUUACAAAGACAAAAAAUGAUUUGAUUCUACUUCCAAUAAUGUCAUGUUUUCUGAAUGGUGUUGAUUCUCCCCCUAGUUAUUAGUAAAUAGAGUAGUGAGAGUUCAAUCCCCUUUCAUAUGACUUCAUGCAAAAUCUCCAGCUUUUCCUUUCCUACACUUUUAAUGCUAUAAGUCAACUUCAAUAUCACUGUCACACCACAACUCAUUUAUCACAACAAUUCUUUCAUCAAAACUGCUCUGAUUUUCAUCUUCAUGUUUUCCAUUCAUCAACUUCUUAUUCAGUGUGUUUAGAAAUGUGUUAGUGACUAUAAACCACUUCACAACUAACAAAAAGCUUUUUAUUCCUUAAAACUAUACUUUUUUAUUCAGUUCAAACAAAGACACAUUUACAUUUCUGUUCAAUUCUGUGUUUUUAACUCCAAACUAUAGAAAUUAAUUGAAUUCCAGAAUUCCUUUAUGAAAUAUUCACACUCUGACAUGCUAAUUAGAUUAGCCUGCUAUAUUGCAGUGUUUAUUCGCUAGCUGGAUAUGCUGCAAGUCAGAUCUAGUAGAUGUCAUUAGUGUAAAUAUAUAAAGUUUUUAUAAAGUUUUCUCAGAUUUACAUUGGAGUUCCUCAGGUUUCAUUCAGGAUUCUCUCGUUUCUUUUCUUCUUCUCAGGACUUUGUUUUAUAAUCUCAGCUUUAAUUCAAUAUUCUCACUUUUGAAAUGAGUGAAUGAAGGUUCAUUUUAAUAUUAAAUCCUAUUAAACUAUAGAUUCAGGAUUCGAGAUGUUAUUUGUCACAACCACAGUACAAGCAAAUAUACAACAAAUAAGAUUUUUUUAGCUUUCAGAAUGAGAAAAAGUUUAUAUUUUAUAUUUUUCAUGCUUUAAUUUGCUGUUUUUCAUAUUCUGUAACAAUCAUCUAUUUUUAUACAUUGAAUGAAAUAAAAGUGCUUUGAUUAUUUUCA